rfam:Hordeum vulgare subsp. vulgare, WGS project CAJW01000000 data, contig: morex_contig_1562974
GCAGUACUCCCUCUGUCUGGAAAUACUUGUCCUACAAAUAAAUGUAUCUAGACUUAUUUUAGUUAUAGAUUCAUGCAUUUUAUUCAUUUCUAGGACAAGUAUUUCCAAACAGAGGGAGUAUCAA